CCUAGCCACUUUUAAUUAAUUUUUGAAAUGAAGGUCACAAAAAAUUAUGGGUUUAGUGAUUUUUUUUUUUUUUUGCAAUCAAGAGAGAACAAAAAUAUCAUCUUUCUAUAGCAUGGAAAUUUCACUCAUCUCUCUCACAUGACUAAAAUGAUUAUUUUGUUUUAUUAUAAAAAGAAUCCUAGGGAAUUUUUGGUUUAAUGGUAAUUAACAGAAAAAUAAAAGAGGUGAUCUCCUAUUCAUUACUCUACACUUUGUCUUGUUUUCUCUAAGUCCACAAACUUUCUUUCACAAACAAAAGAUAGAAAAGAAAAAGCAUCCUUCUUCAUUUAGAAAACUCACGCCCAAAUACAUCAUCAAGUUGAAUUUCAAUUUCUUUUCUUCCUCUUAGUAGCAUCUCAAGGUCUAUAGGAAGGUGACAAAUUAAACCCCAUAUUUUGUAGCUUUACUGUGAAGCAUAUGGUGUUUUUGUAAUGCUUGUGUAUGGGACCAAGGAUGUGUUGACCUGAAGGCUACGCUAUAAGUUGCACGUGACCUAGAUCGCGAUUAUAUAUGUUGUAUCAUGGACCAUCAUGCCAUGGCUGGACCAAAUUGGCUACAAACUUCCCCAAAUGCAAUGUUGGUUGUGCUCUAUUUUAAUCUCAAUCCAGCUCUGGUGCGGGCAUUUGCUUCAGAGAUGGUGCAAGUAGCUUUAUUAUAGCUUAAUUAUUACGAUGAUAAUGAAAUUAUUUUAUGAGAACAAUUUAUGUUUAAUGUACGAGUUUAAGUGUGCAAACUUUCUUUUAACAGUUUAAAGACUCUUUGUUUCAUCCUCUAAUGAACAAAGAAAGAUAAUUAACAAACCAAGGCAAAUGCGUUGUAACUCAGAUCAGCAGGCCUUCAAAGUGCCUCUAGUGAAUCUGUAUAAUAUACGCUCACUUUGAAAA